ACAUAAAGGGGGAAGAACAAGAGAGCUCCAAAUCCUUGUUCUUCAAUUUCAAUUCAUCACAACUUUUAAUUCAGAGUUCCGGUCGCUGCACCGUUUGUAGCUACGUGGCCACCGCGUCGAACUCUACAAAUUCAUCCGUACAAAAUGGGUUGAAUUAGCUUUGGCAGAUUAUUGGGUCUUGUCUCAAACGUCCAUUGGUAAGAUGUAGGUCGAGAAGCACCUUGCUGAGCAUCUGGAGUUUCUUGUGCAAGCGAAGUUUGAUUAUUUUGGGAUGCUGUAUUUUGUAUUUAUGCUAUGUAUAUAUGUAUAUAAAUUUUUCUCUGUAUAUAUUUUAUGUUUGUCCCUCCUAAAGGUUGAUUUGGAGAAACAGGUAUUUAUUAUGUAGUUUGAGUUUUAUUUUGAGUUGUAUGUAUAUAUAUAAUUAUAUACUCUAGCCGGCCUUAACUUCGCAGGUCGAGUUUGGAGCUUGAUAUCUGUGUUUUGGAACUCUGAUCUAUAUAUUAUGUUUUUUUUAGCCUUC